UCAUAGCUCAGCUGGAUAGAGCAACGGCCUUCUAAGCCGUAGGCCUCAGGUUCGAAUCCUG
rnacentral:tRNA from 4 species